GAGGAGGUUGCGACGGACCCAGAGAUUGAAGUACUGGUACAAGCAACAUAUCCCGCUAGUGACGAUGAGGCUUUUAGUGACAGUGACUACGAGACCGACCUAGAACGAGAUACCGAUGAGUCGUCCGUGGAUGAGGAUUUUGUUGAUGAGGAGGAGGACGCGAAAGAGGAGCAGAAGGGAUGGGCGGCCGUGGCGGCCAAGGCGCUUGGCUUUCGCUGAGUGUGCCGUGCCCCCGUGUGUAAUCGUUCACGGGAAAAUAACAUAAAUAACGUUUUACAGGGCAAAAAAAUGCAAAGUGUCACUUUCCACAGCGUUUUAGCUAAGGACAGUGUCCCCGUAAAGGUUUUGCGGGGUUACGGGGGCCCCCGUAAGGUUUUCGGCCAGUACAGGAGCCUGGUACGGGGGCCCCUCCGUAAGGAAAAUUUGGGAGGUACGGGGGAUCCCGCAAGUUUCAGGAAAGUCAGUGUCGAACCCUGGAGUGCACAUAUUGAGGCAAUGACAAAGUGCAGCAUUCGUGGGGUAUUGCAAGCGCUCGCGUCGCAAGGGAUGGACCAGAAUGCCAGAGGGUGCUGUGCCAGGAAUGUUAACAUCGGCCAUAAUCUUCAAAUCUCCAUGGAGAGUGCGUCCUGGAAACGACGGCUCAGCCAGAAUAGGUAUAGGCUGACGUAAGGAAGGCUACAGACACGUUUCGCGCGUUGCAGGAUUCAGCACAUUUUUGGGCGGGGCCCCAGGGCGAAGCGCCCAGGGAGGCCCCGACCUGUAGGAUUGCCCAUGUCCGUGCGUGCAUGUGGCCGUGUGGCCGUGUGUGUGUAACAGACCAAACAUAAUAUCUCGCCCGGCUGAAACGCGUUAUUGGUACUAUAAAGCAUUCUCUAUCGCAAGGUAUCUCGCCUGUAGCCAACAAAAAUCGUAUGAGCACAAAUGAACACAAAUGACUUUGGCUGCCUCAAUUGACCGAGGCCAAAGCCACAUCAACGCCUCUCGGGCUAAAUUUAAUCUCAAAAGGUACCGCGUAUCUCAUAUUUGAAUUCUGAGAUGACAGCGUAUGAUAACUUGUACACCCAGCUUGUGUUACCAUUUGCCCGCACGGGCAUUCCGACUUGCCACCAGCAGGCCGACAAAUUUGCUUACAUUUCUCUAUGAAAUACGCAAGCUGCUCAUUUGUACAUUUACUUUAGCCAAUGGUCGGGGCCUCCGGAGAUUUGCGGUGUGCCGCAAUGAAGCUCGCGGCUGNNNNNNNNNNNNNNNNNNNNNNNNNNNNNNNNNNNNNNNNNNNNNNNNNNCUGCUGCUGAUACCGGGGCGAAGCCACUGAUUGAUCAGGCUGCUGGGGUCUACUCGCGUAAGGGUUAUACAGGCAUUAUUCACAAGUUGUUUUCUGACGUUAGCAAAAUUAAUUUGAAUCCAUACGGAGAGGAUGAUAACGAGGAGGUUGCGACGGACCCAGAGAUUGAAGUACUGGUACAAGCAACAUAUCCCGCUAGUGACGAUGAGGCUUUUAGUGACAGUGACUACGAGACCGACCUAGAACGAGAUACCGAUGAGUCGUCCGUGGAUGAGGAUUUUGUUGAUGAGGAGGAGGACGCGAAAGAGGAGCAGAAGGGAUGGGCGGCCGUGGCGGCCAAGGCGCUUGGCUUUCGCUGAGUGUGCCGUGCCCCCGUGUGUAAUCGUUCACGGGAAAAUAACAUAAAUAACGUUUUACAGGGCAAAAAAAUGCAAAGUGUCACUUUCCACAGCGUUUUAGCUAAGGACAGUGUCCCCGUAAAGGUUUUGCGGGGUUACGGGGGCCCCCGUAAGGUUUUCGGCCAGUACAGGAGCCUGGUACGGGGGCCCCUCCGUAAGGAAAAUUUGGGAGGUACGGGGGAUCCCGCAAGUUUCAGGAAAGUCAGUGUCGAACCCUGGAGUGCACAUAUUGAGGCAAUGACAAAGUGCAGCAUUCGUGGGGUAUUGCAAGCGCUCGCGUCGCAAGGGAUGGACCAGAAUGCCAGAGGGUGCUGUGCCAGGAAUGUUAACAUCGGCCAUAAUCUUCAAAUCUCCAUGGAGAGUGCGUCCUGGAAACGACGGCUCAGCCAGAAUAGGUAUAGGCUGACGUAAGGAAGGCUACAGACACGUUUCGCGCGUUGCAGGAUUCAGCACAUUUUUGGGCGGGGCCCCAGGGCGAAGCGCCCAGGGAGGCCCCGACCUGUAGGAUUGCCCAUGUCCGUGCGUGCAUGUGGCCGUGUGGC
rnacentral:lncRNA from 1 species